rnacentral:lncRNA from 1 species
UACAACUCCUUGAUCCAACGGCUGAUAUAAACUUGGUUUAAAAAAAAAAAAAACCAGUGUUAACCUCACUCCCACAUUUUAUCCCCUCACGUUUUCCCUCUUUUGCCCUAAAUUUUGGCGCCAGCGUGCUAAAGAGAGAGAGAGGCGUGCGCGGUAGCGUGAGAGAGAGAGGCGAGCGAGCGAGGCAGCGAGCUAAAGAGAGAGAGGUGAGCGAGCGAGCGACCGAGAGAGAGAGGAGAGCUCGAGCGUGAGCAGGGCGCGAGAGAGAGCGAGGGCAUGGCGCGAGAGGGAGCGAGAGGAGUUGUGCUCUGCUAGAAACAGGGAGAACGAGAGGAAGAGAAAGAAGCGCGAAGGUGGAUUCUGCGAUCAAAUUGGACGCGGCAAGUACGGAGGCGACAAUCGAGCAUGCGGAAAAAUUGAANAUAGAAAUUUUAAAAAAAUGCCCUGUUUGAGUUGAAUCAUCUGUUUCGGUUGUGGCCGAAUUAGCUCCGAAAUCGUUCCCAAUUUCGGACGCUCACGACUGAAGGAAUGCGUCACAGGUACUGGGAUGGACAGGGGAGCAGUUGAGAGGCGACCUCCUACCAAUGGAGAAAGGCGAGGUCGAGAGACACCUUCGAGACGGCUUCGGACACAAGAUGUGUGGAACGAGCGCUGCCGAACUUCUGCCCGAUGGAGUGGAGUGCCCUGCGAGCGAGAGCGAGAGAAAGAGAAAGGGGAGAGCGCGAGAUAACGAGAGGCGAGGGAGCGAGAGAAAGCGAGGAAGCGAGAGAGAGUGAGAAACAGAGAUAGCGAGAGGAGCUGUGCGGGAGAGAGAAGUGUAGUAGGGUUUAAUUUAAGUUAGCUUUAGCAAGAAGUAAAAAAGGUGUGAGGUUAGAAGCUACUGUGCUAGUGGGUUAAUAUCAGCCAUUGGAUCUGAUAGUUGUAGGAUAUACACCUUCCUAUAGGAGUACAGGUAGACUUUUCCUAAUAUUUUUAGGGUUAAUUGCAUACAGCUCCCUUUAAAUAUAUCGAAUAGUAGAUAUAUCCCUAUAAAAUUCAAGUUUUUAUAUUUAUUCUCGUAAAAAUCCUAACAUUUUCAAAUAUAUCGCUGUUGUUGGAUCCAUUAGAAAAAUAUAGUUAACCAUAUGUAACAUACUUAACCCUAAUUAACGAAUGAGAUAAAUUUAUCUUUUCACUCAUCUUAUAUUAUUUGUGAUGGCAGAAAAGAUGAAAAUAACAGUUGGAGAUUUUUAAGAGGACUUCUCUGUAUA